rnacentral:rRNA from 1 species
GACGUAGGGCGCGAGCGUUGUCCGGAUUUAUUGGGCGUAAAGAGCUCGUAGGCGGCUCGUUGCGUCAACCGUGAAAACCCGGGGCUUAACUUCGGGCUUGUGGUUGAUACGGGCGGGCUGGAGUUCGGUAGGGGAGACUGGAAUUUCCUGGUGUAGCGGUGAAAUGCGCAGAUAUCAAGGAGGAACACCGGUGGCGAAGGCGGGUCCCUGGGCCGAUACUGACGCUGAGGAGCGAAAGCGUGGGGAGCGAACAGG